rnacentral:rRNA from 1 species
CCUACGGGUGGCAGCAGUGAGGAAUAUUGGUCAAUGGGCGCGAGCCUGAACCAGCCAAGUAGCGUGAAGGAUGACUGCCCUACGGGUUGUAAACUUCUUUUAUAAAGGAAUAAAGUGAGGCACGUGUGCCUUUUUGCAUGUACCUUAUGAAUAAGCAUCGGCUAACUCCGUGCCAGCAGCCGCGGUAAUACGGAGGAUCCGAGCGUUAUCCGGAUUUAUUGGGUUUAAAGGGAGCGUAGGUGGGAGUUUAAGUUAGUGGUGAAAGGUUGGGGCUGAACCGGAAUUGGCCAAUAAAUAUGGGGUACGAGAGUAAAGACGAGGUAGGCGGAAGAAGUGGGGGAGCGGGGAAAUGCUUAGAUAGAACUUAGAAGCACGAGAGCGAAGGAAGAUGACCAGAC